rnacentral:lncRNA from 1 species
GGGUGAGGAAACAACGGGGGAGAUCGAGACACAGGGAUUGGGAGGGCUAAGGUUUCAAUUUAAUCGACUAAACAAAUUAGUAUUAAUUAAUUAAAAUCGAGCUAAUUCAGAUAGGGUAAUCGGACUAAACCAAUUUGAGUAGGAGAUUGAGCUCGGAUCGGAUAUUCGGGUUGAAGCUCGAGCUCGGGCUCGGGCCCGGGCCAGGCCAAAGG